GACGAACGCUGGCGGCGUGCUUAACACAUGCAAGUCGAACGGAAAGGCCCUGCUUUUGUGGGGUGCUCGAGUGGCGAACGGGUGAGUAACACGUGAGUAACCUGCCCUUGACUUUGGGAUAACUUCAGGAAACUGGGGCUAAUACCGGAGAGGAGCUCCUGCUGCAUGGUGGGGGUUGGAAAGUUUCGGCGGUUGGGGAUGGACUCGCGGCUUAUCAGCUUGUUGGUGGGGUAGUGGCUUACCAAGGCUUUGACGGGUAGCCGGCCUGAGAGGGUGACCGGCGACAUUGGGACUGAGAUACGGCGCAGACUCCUACGGGAGGCAGCAGUGGGGAAUAUUGCACAAUGGGCGGAAGCCUGAUGCAGCAACGCCGCGUGCGGGAUGACGGCCUUCGGGUUGUAAACCGCUUUCGCCUGUGACGAAGCGUGAGUGACGGUAAUGGGUAAAGAAGCACCGGCUAACUACGUG
rnacentral:rRNA from 1 species